GAUGAACGCUGGCGGCGUGCCUAAUACAUGCAAGUCGAGCGAACAGACGAGGAGCUUGCUCCUCUGACGUUAGCGGCGGACGGGUGAGUAACACGUGGAUAACCUACCUAUAAGACUGGGAUAACUUCGGGAAACCGGAGCUAAUACCGGAUAAUAUAUUGAACCGCAUGGUUCAAUAGUGAAAGACGGUUUUGCUGUCACUUAUAGAUGGAUCCGCGCCGCAUUAGCUAGUUGGUAAGGUAACGGCUUACCAAGGCAACGAUGCGUAGCCGACCUGAGAGGGUGAGCGGCCACACUGGAACUGAGACACGGUCCAGACUCCUACGGGAGGCAGCAGUAGGGAAUCUUCCGCAAUGGGCGAGAGCUUGACGGAGCAACGCCGCGUGAGUGAUGAAGGUCUUCGGAUCGUAAAACUCUGUUAUUAGGGAAGAACAAAUGUGUAAGUAACUAUGCACGUCUUGACGGUACCUAAUCAGAAAGCCACGGCUAACUACGUG
rnacentral:rRNA from 1 species